rnacentral:rRNA from 1 species
AUUGAACGCUGGCGGCAGGCCUAACACAUGCAAGUCGAGCGGAUGACAGGAGCUUGCUCCUGAAUUCAGCGGCGGACGGGUGAGUAAUGCCUAGGAAUCUGCCUGGUAGUGGGGGACAACGUUUCGAAAGGAACGCUAAUACCGCAUUCGUCCUACGGGAGAAAGCAGGGGACCUUCGGGCCUUGCGCUAUCAGAUGAGCCUAGGUCGGAUUAGCUAGUUGGUGAGGUAAUGGCUCACCAAGGCGACGAUCCGUAACUGGUCUGAGAGGAUGAUCAGUCACACUGGAAAUGAGACACGGUCCANNCUCCUACGGGAGGCAGCAGUGGGGAAUAUUGGACAAUNGGAGAAAGCNUGAUCCANCCAUGCCGCGUGUGUGAAGAAGGUCUUCGGAUUGUAAAGCACUUUAAGUUGGGAGGAAGGGCAGUAAAUUAAUACUUUGCUGUUUUGACGUUACCGACAGAAUAAGCACCGGCU